ensembl:lncRNA
CUCUGGAAAUAAAUCAGCGGCGGUGGUGGAGGUUUUGGGCGUGGCGCCCUGCUGGCAGACAGGAAUAGAACCGUAAUGGAGGGUUUAAAAUGACGUGUCUGCAGGCUUUUUUUACACUCUCGUGCUCUCGCACUGUGUGUGUAUGUGAGCCUGGUCUUUACCUGAGGAGGUGUGCGUGUUACAGCCUGAGGACGGGGCACAGGUGUGUUUAACCUGCGGGACGUGAUCAGUCCUGAAAACCAGCAUGGAGGAGUUUUUACUUCUCUUCAUGCAGCAGCUGCUAAAGCAAGCUUUUUAGCUCCUCCCUCAUUCAGAGCAACUUUAUUCUGAUUGGCUGCUCAUCCUGAACAGGAACUUUGAAUCCCCCUUCUAUGCAGUGCGCAGUGAUCUGACGACCUCAUCAUUACUAACGCGUUUGACAUGAACGCCCGCCACAGAAACAGGAAGUACGCGCUGGCUUCAGAUGCACAUCAGUAAAAACACCACUCAUUAAUGGGAGACGUAUUUGGAUCGCCCCCCGGUGGCUGUUACACCAUUCAUCAUGUUCCAUCGUGUAAAGGCCACGCCCCUUCAUAUGAACAGAAGAGGCGGUUUGCGAGAUUCAGAAAAGGAACCUUUGAGUUCGGCACGUUUAAGAUUUUUUAUUUUGAUUGUUACAUUUUUAUCAAAACUGAAAAGCAUCCCGAGCCGUCGUCAUCAUCAUCAUCAUCAUCACCAUCACCAUCAUUAAUGACACAGUCAGAGGUCACAAGCCCAUCUCCCCCACAUCCCCCUCCUCCUCCCCCGGGGGGGAGCAGAGGCGUGAGAUGAACACACAGUGGUAGUUCCACAGCAGCAGCAGCACCAUCAGCAGCAGGCCGCAGAGCAGCAGGGCCACCAGCAGGGGGAGACGGCAUGAUGCUGACAGAGGGCAGAGGUCGCCGCAGCUGACGGGGAGAGGAGGAGGAGGAGGGGAGGAGCAGCGAUGGAGCCACAAACAGAGACGUUUGAGUCCCGAUGGGUCAGACUGAGAUGAGCUGAGAGGUGACGGCAUGGUCCUGGAGAGGUCAGAGGUCAGGUGGAGCUCAGCUGAGAAUCAGAAACAGAAACAUCAGUAAAAUCCAGAAGCUCCAUAAUGCUCCAAUCUGAGGGUGGGGCCCACUGAAGGUCACACAGUAGAUCUGAGGGGGGUGGGACAGGAAGCAGGUUACUCUGAUCUUAUUUUAAAAAGUGAAAGCGUGCAGAGAGCAUCAGACUCGGGCGCAGGUGUGUCCCUGACGCUCUGACCUCUCUGACUUGCUAUUAUGGCCGACAGUUUGCCUCAAACACGAGCUCUUUAAAUGUGAGCACACGUCUCAGCAGAGGAAGGCGCGGAGCUGCUGAGGUGUGACGAGCCCGGCGAUACCUGCAGAUGUUUGCAGAUGUUUGUGAAUGAAAUUAAAGCGAACUGAGUGACACUGAACUUCUCACCGGCCUCUCGGAGAAACCAGCGGCCUCAGCAGGAAGUGCUGGACUGGGUCGCUCAACAUCGCGCACGGACUCGCUCUGACCGUGUGUGAGGUUUGGAUCCAAGUUUACGUUCCCGUUAAAGAAGAGCCUGAAGUAAUGGGAAAACAGAAAGGAGCCUUCAGGAACUCCACAAGAAGAACAUCAAAAUCCCUCAAAGAAGAAAAUCUGGAAGCUUCACGGAGCAGCGAGGGGGAGGAGGAAUUCAGCCUCCUCGUCUUCCUCACUCCUCCGCUUCAUUACCGGCUCCAGAAAUAACACAGGGUUACCACAGCAACAGCCGAAGGGCUUCAAGGUUACUGUGACAACCACCGAGAGGAGAAGCACGGGAAAUACACAGACCUUCCACCCCACGCUGCGUCUGUCGCUUUUACUCCACAUAACAGCCCGGUCCCCGUCUGAGGCCCGAGGCCUGGUCAGAGUUUUCAUGCACGGAGCUGCUGGUUUUUCCUGCACAUACGAGGUUUCCAGCUGACUGAGCAGGCAGAGAAAGGCUCUGUAAACAGCUGUGAGUGAGCGUUCAGCUCGGAAACACUCACCUGUCUGCUCCUUUCCUUCUACGUCUGUGGCGAAGACCAAAUACCUGCAGCCUCUUCCUCUGUCUGUGUAACACAGCCGGCUCAGCCAAUCACAGCGGCCGGUUGGAGGUAGUCAGCUGAGUUUCAGUGCACUGACCGGCGGCAUCACGCCGUGACCUUCAGACUGAGAGUCAACAAUCAGGCCGCGCACACUGAAAACAGCUGCAGAGCCUCGAGCUGCAGCCACACACAGAAACUGCCCCAGGAAAUACCCUCCAACGCCCCCCCAGGAUGAAGAACACAGCUGCUGCCUUUCACCGCCCUCGAAUCCCCUGUAUGCAUCUUCAUUGCGACACAAACGUUGACCUGCAAGACUACAGUACCCACAAUCCUCUGUGGCUCCAGCCUUUUGGUGCUUUGAGCUUUACUCUGUCCUGCAGUUCCAGUGAGAGCUGUGCAGUGACACAGCCGAGUGAUGCAGAGCGGCGUCUUCGUCUCUGAGCAGGCUCAAUAACCACUCAC